AUAUCGGUGGUUAAUGAUCUAUUAAGUGAUGUGUGUGCUUAUGGGCAGCGGGGAAAAAGUGUCGAUGCUUGCUUAUUCGCCUCCUAAUGAGGCUCCCGUCCUACGGAUUUUAGGACUGAAUAACACGAAAUAAAAUCCGCCUUAAAAUGAUGCGUUGAGGAGUUGAGGCUGCGGAGGCGCAUGAAGCUCACAACAUUCGACAUCUCGCGACUGAGCGGCUCACAUCGCGCUUGUGCCGUGUCACACCUGUAACGCGAGGCCCGGGCAUCAACGAUGGACCCCUGACCGGGUUGGCACACUAUGUGCUCACCUGCGCUGCCAAACUUUUUGGAUCCUUCUGGAUGUUAUCCUUGCAAGGAAUAGCGACCUGCUAUUUUCUCCACUUCUAUUUUUGCACACAAUGUGUGAAUGUGAUCGCUUCACGGUCGUUCUCCGCGAGCCGACACCCGGAGGAAAGCCAAAUUUCAAGGCCGAGGGGCGGGCAGAUGAGCGUUGAAGAGCCGCUGCUUGCGGAGCAUGCUUUUUUUUUUACGCGUGGAAGUAAUUGAGAGGUGGACAUUAUACGGGGCGAGUCCAGUCGGUGAAGGAAGCCAACUCGAGCCGCAUCAGACCCAAUUGACACACAUCAACCACUCUUACAGAAACAAGAGUUGAUGCCACCAACUCAGCGAUUGUCCGUCAGUAUUCGCAGGGUGUCACGGCACAGAGUGACGCACUCUCAGGAGGAGGGUAACAUCAAAUUAAGUAUAAAACAAAUAUAAGUAAUCCCUGUGUGCUUGAAGUAUCCACAGAGCCUCCACUAAUGUGGAAAAGGCACAAUUAGCAGGUACAGUAUGCAGACGUGUUUGCAACCACUUAAGCAACGGACAUCGGACCCCAGAUGUUUCUGGAAGGCAGAACUUAUUGCAAUAUGCAUGUGUUCUUUAUCCCUUGGGAAGAACAACUAAUAUUAGUGCUGCACUGAUGAUCAGAGAGGCGUUCUCAAAGAACAAUUUAGCGGUCUGUCUGUCUUGUACUGCCCCCCGGUGGGCUAGGCAAAUACACCAGAAUGGACAGCAUAAUUGUAAGAGAAUGCUUGACAAAUGUUUAUUUUUAAGUCUUUUUAAAUCAUAUAAUUAGUAUGUGUUUUUAUAACGUGUGCUGUAACAAGCGUUUUCUGGUUGUGCGUUUAAUGUUUAAAGGUUUUACUUGAAUCCAAAAUAGACCCUCAUAAAAUUUCUCUGCAAGGUCCAAGAUCCAUAAGCAUUAUACGUACUUAUACAAUAGACACUUACAAAGGUUAAAUUGGCUUGAUUUUGGAAUAUUUGAACGCUCUUUUUCCUUUCUUCAUGGUCAGUCCAGCCUGCCCGAACGCUUCGUGGGUCACCUCCUCACCUCAACGUUCUCUCACCCCUCUCCUCCGGCCCUGGCCCUGCCCACCCCAGGUCAUUUAUCAUGGAGCAGGAGGGGCGCCUCCAGGCCUGCAGGCCCCUGUCAGCCACUGCAAUCGCCUCUUUGUGGCUCCCAGCAAACAAGUGUCGGAUCAGCAAAAGUCUAUUAAAGCCUGGUGGGCCUUUCUCAGCCAAUUGGGUCUGGGUCAGUGAGCCGCUCUCCUCGCUGCUCCGAGAGCUCUUUGUGUCGCCGCCGUUCGCUGACACAGAUCCCCACAAGAUUAAUGAUUUUUAGCAGCCACUUGGUUCUUACUCGCAAGAGUUGUAGCCCGUUUCUCUCAUUUUGCCCUCUCUUUUGGCCACUUGUAAUGCUUCCCUUUUCUCCCUUCAGCCCAUUUCUCAUACUCCAUCUCCUUAUUUUUUCCAUUCAACCCAGCCUGCUAACCCAAUCAAUGCUAACUGCAUUAGCAUAAACCUUACAAACCCACAAUACAUACACCAAAAGACAUUGCGUCUUAAUGGGCAUAUACCGCCAAGGAUACAACUCAAAUAUCUAAAUGUUCUAUCAGUAUUCAUGAGUACCGGAUGCAUUGGAAUAAUGUUGGUAUCGGCCCAAUAUCUACUCGCCCAUCCCUCGUCAUUAUCUUCCGAUUGCUAUUAAUGCCUAAUGAAUCCAAAGCAUGUUGAUAACCAACUUUCAAAUCCGCUUUACAAUCCAGGCAGUCGUCCUUGCGGCAAGUCUCAAGGGGUUCGGGGUAAUUUGAAAUCUUUCAGCCGCCUCUCACCAGUUCCAUGUUGGUCAUGUUCUCAGUGUUGUUUCCAGUAAUUACUGCAGGUUAAGUGCACGUCCCGGAGCCCAGCGGAGGCAGCUCUAUCCCUCACCUGGGACAUGACUCAGCAAGGCUCGGGUCAUCCGGCCAUUUCCCUGACCACUGGACCACACCCAGCCUACUCUAAAGCCGCAGCAGCAGCUCUCAUGUUCACUUACAUCAUGUAAUGCAAAGGUAGUUUUAUUUGCCGCCUGAUUGUUUCCUGAAACUCAGCCUCAGACCGGCGUCUGAAAAAAAUUUAACGACUGAUACGCAUGUUGUUUUUAACCCAACCAACUAUUGAUUUCUAUAUACAUACGUACUGGCCAACAUAUUCUUUAUUGUAAAAUUAAGUACUGGGAAGAUUAUAAUUUCAUGUUUUGAAUGUUUUGCUUUGACGUAAAAAAAAUCUCUCUCUCUCUCUCUCUCUCUCUCUCUCUCUCUCUCUCUCUCUCUCUCUCUCUCUCUCUCUCUCUCUCUCUCUCUCUCUCUCUCUCUCUCACAAAAACAGGAUCCUGUCGUUAUGUUUAUUUGAAGUUGAAUGGAUGAACUCAGCCCGCCUUUUCUUGCAAAAGAAUCUUCUCACCCGUGUUUUUUUUUGGUACCUGAGCUUUCAUGUAAACGGUUAUAGAUUGGAAGAUGCUGGCAUACUGGCAUUCCACAUCAUUACUCACACAGACCAGGAGAGACCACAGGCUGAGCUAUUCAGAGUACCCUCCACCUCACUCAUGCUCUCUCAUACAUACUGAAAGUGUAUACAUACACACACACUCACAAGCACGCAGACAUGUGAUUCAAACACAGGGUUCCUCCAUGGCGAGGCCUUUUUGUUUGCGCCCUUGCUCUUGACCUAUUCUCUUUUGACUUGUCCUAGUAUUUCAUUUCUACUUAUCCUCUCGCCUCUCUUUGCCUUGCUCUGGCUUGCUCUCAUCUCCAGGUUGGAGACAUUGCAAAUAGAACUAUGUGUGUGUCUACUGUAUUCAGAAUCAGGGUAAAUAGAAAUGUACACCAAAAUUAUUCAUAUUAUUAAGUAGUUGCCUGACAUUUGUAAAUUAUUCAUACUAUCAAGAAAGAAAAGUAGUCUGUCAUUUGUAAAUUUAACUUGUGUAACUUAGUCAAUAAAACACAAGUAUUGACAUAAAGGGUGAAGAAGGAAAGUUAGAGUGGAGAUAAAAAGUCUACACACCCCAGUUCAAAUGGCAGGUUUUUGUGUCCAAGCUAAAGGUUUUCCACUAUUCCUUAACUUAUAUCCUUUAGAACUCAAUUGAAAAAAUCAGAGGGAAAUUCCAUAGAAACAAAGUAAGUGCACACACUUGCUUAUAAAUGGAGAGUGUCUGUUCAGAAUUAAGCAAUCACAUUCACACUCAUUUUAAAUUAGUGUCGGCACACACUUGCCAAUAUGUAAAGGUGGCAGUGUAUGUAAAAUUCUCCUUUGGGUGCAAUUGUUAACAAAGGGUCAUUUUAAUCAGCUAGGUCCUCAUUACCUUUUAUUAAUUGUGCUAAGAAACAUAAACAAGAGCUUUCGUGUCCGUCAGAUUAGCUACCGCCCCAUAGUAAAAAGGCGAUACUGUUACAUAUCAUCACACAACUUUGCAGAAAAUAGAGCAAUAAAUCUAGAUAUGUGUCAACAACUAUCUAGUGUGUCAUGUGUGAUUCUGUGUUUGAGUCCAGAUAAGAUGUGUUUUGUGCUUUCAUAGCUUUAACGCUGCUUUUUUUGUAUGCAUGGGUCUGUAGCUGUAAUGUGCGUGUAUGUGUGUGUGAACGUGUGCGUGUGUGUGUAUGUGCACGCAGGGUGUGUGCAUGCGUUGGAGGGUGGUUUCUGUAAAUAAAUCUGUUUGGGGAAUGGGGGUGCACGGAUGAAAUAUGGUUCCAGGGAUGUGGAGCAAUGUGAAAAACUCGGCAAUGCCUGGGAAUAACAAAUCUCCUCAUGUCGCCUUCCUGCAAAAUAAAUACACUCCCCAUACAAGUCAUCCAUCUGGACGACGAGACACAGCAAAGAUGCCCCCAAUAGAUCCCCAACACACACACACACACACACACACACACACACACACACACACACACACACACACACAGGCUCGAGUGUACGAGUAUUUAUUUACACAUUUAAUUAAAUGAAAACUUCAAGGGAAUUAAAUGAGGUUUUCAUAGUACAAUUUUUGUUUUGAUGAAACGUGAUGUUGACAUACGACUUAUACCACCUUGGCAGGUACGUUUAGAACUAAAAUGAAUAAAACCAAUGGGAGACUGGAAAUGGGAAGCAGUGAAUAUUAGAAGAGGAUAGUUAAGUCUAAUGUUUGAUUUAAACCGUAUUCUCAGAAUGAUGCAAGCAGAUUUUACUCAGAA